rnacentral:lncRNA from 1 species
UGGAUGGGUGACGACCAAAAUCUUUGCAUCCGCUGCCACAGCAGCCAUGUCCUCCACUUCAGCGCUCACCCUGCUCGGCUAUGCAGCUCUCACAGCCCUCCUUGGGGGCUUUGCCCUGACCUGGGAUGAAGUCAGCUUUGGAGGAGGCGAUGCCGUGCUCAAAUUGGGCAAAAGCAAAUCUCCCUGGGAGCCACAGAUGGAGAAGACAUGAAGACAAAAUCUUGGAGCACACAUUUUAAAUGUACCCAGGCCCCCUCUCCCAUAUUACAUCGCUGACAAAAUUCUUGGAUAACAUUAGUCUGACGGCAAAAUGUAUAAAAUAGAAUUGAUUAUUAAUUCAUAAAGAGCUUUGAUAUCUUAUCUAUUGCUCAUCUCUUGUAAUGAUUUUUAAUGUCAUCAUGGUUUUUAAUUUUGCAUGAAACCCAU